UUACGGCCAUAUCACGUUGAAAUAUAAGUUCUCGUUCGAUCACCGAAGUUAAGUAACAACAAGCCUGGUCAGUACAUAGAUGGGUGACCGCUUGGAAAUAUCAGAUGCUGUAA